rnacentral:rRNA from 1 species
GAUGAACGCUGGCUGCGUGCUUAACACAUGCAAGUCGAACGGUGAAAGAGAGCUUGCUCUCUGGAUCAGUGGCGACCGGGUGAGUAACACGUGAGCAAUCUGCCCCUGACUCUGGGAUAAGCGCUGGAAACGGCGUCUAAUACCGGAUACGAGCUGCGAAGGCAUCUUCAGCAGCUGGAAAGAACUUCGGUCAGGGAUGAGCUCGCGGCCCAUCAGCUAGUUGGUGAGGUAACGGCUCACCAAGGCGUCGACGGGCAGCCGGCCGGAGAGGGUGACCGGCCACACUGGGACUGAGACACGGCCCAGACUCCUACGUGAGUCAGCAGUGGGGAAUAUUGCACAAUGGGCGCAAGCCUGAUGCAGCAACGCCGCGUAAGGGACGGCGGCCUUCGGGUUGUAAACCUCUUUUAGCAGGGAGGAAGCGAAAGAGACGGUACCUGCAGAAAAAGCACCGGCUAACUACGUGCCAGCAGCCGCCGUAAUAC